CCUUGUUGUUGAUAUCGACUUGAUUCCUCCUACUGCCUUCAUUUUUCUUCUGAAGGCACCAAUGCUGAAGUAGGAAGUCGUGGCACUUGGCUCAAGGUGAGGGAGAAGGACUAGAAACCAUUACCUGAAAGCUUGAAGAUGGAGUAAAAGCAAAGAAGGAACAAUUUAAGGAACAAAUGCUUGUGUGUCCACUUCCUAAUGUCCGUGAGCUAAAGAUGCUAUCUUGAGAAUUUGUGGGGAUAAGACCCGUAGGCCAAUUUAUACUAAAAUGGUGAAACGGUUGCAAAAGUAGUGAAACAGUUGCAUUAGCCCAUGAUUAAAGCCCAAGUUCAAUGCUUGUAUAAUGAUGAAUUCAAGACCAAUAAGGAAAAGAAGACUUGUUGCUUAAGAAAGAGUAGAGAAAAUAUAGGAGGUGGUGAUUAACUAUCAAGUGUGUGACGCUAGUGCUCGAGGGAGCAAGGUGUAUUCUAACAACAUUUCAGGUGAGUGGAUAAUGCCUUUAAUAAUACAUUGUUUGACUCGAUAAAUAUUUCGACAGUAAAUUCCAUAUAUCUUGU